rnacentral:rRNA from 1 species
UACGAAGGGGGCUAGCGUUGCUCGGAAUCACUGGGCGUAAAGCGCACGUAGGCGGAUUGCUAAGUCAGGGGUGAAAUCCUGGAGCUCAACUCCAGAACUGCCUUUGAUACUGGCGACCUUGAGUCCGGGAGAGGUGAGUGGAACUGCGAGUGUAGAGGUGAAAUUCGUAGAUAUUCGCAAGAACACCAGUGGCGAAGGCAGCACUCUGGGACGUGACUGACGCUGAGACGCGAAAGCGUGGGGAGCAAACAGG